ACUCCUACGGGAGGCAGCAGUGGGGAAUAUUGCACAAUGGGGGAAACCCUGAUGCAGCCAUGCCGCGUGUGUGAAGAAGGCCUUCGGGUUGUAAAGCACUUUCAGUAGGGAGGAAGGUAGUGUAGUUAACACCUGCAUUAUUUGACGUUACCUACAGAAGAAGCACCGGCUAACUCCGUGCCAGCAGCCGCGGUAAUACGGAGGGUGCGAGCGUUAAUCGGAAUUACUGGGCGUAAAGCGCAUGCAGGCGGCCUGUUAAGUCAGAUGUGAAGCCGGCGUAACUCGAUUGCAUUGUAACUAGGCAGGCUAGAGUCUUGUUAGAGGGGUAGGUAAUUCUAGGUGUAGCGGUGGAAUAGCGUAGAGAUCUGAAGGAAUACCAGUGGCGAAGCGGCCCUCGGANAAGAACUGACGCUCAGAUGCG
rnacentral:rRNA from 1 species